GAUGAACGCUGGCGGCGUGCCUAAUACAUGCAAGUCGAGCGAACAGACGAGGAGCUUGCUCCUCUGAUGUUAGCGGCGGACGGGUGAGUAACACGUGGAUAAUCUACCUAUAAGACUGGGAUAACUUCGGGAAACCGGAGCUAAUACCGGAUAACAUGUUGAACCGCAUGGUUCAACAGUGAAAGACGGUCUUGCUGUCACUUAUAGAUGGAUCCGCGCCGCAUUAGCUAGUUGGUAAGGUAACGGCUUACCAAGGCAACGAUGCGUAGCCGACCUGAGAGGGUGAUCGGCCACACUGGAACUGGGACACGGUCCAGACUCCUACGGGAGGCAGCAGUAGGGAAUCUUCCGCAAUGGGCGAAAGCCUGACGGAGCAACGCCGCGUGAGUGAAGAAGGUCUUCGGAUCGUAAAACUCUGUUAUUAGGGAAGAACAAAUGUGUAAGUAACUAUGCACGUCUUGACGGUACCUAAUCAGAAAGCCACGGCUAACUACGUG
rnacentral:rRNA from 1 species